rnacentral:misc_RNA from 1 species
UCCCCAAUCCUCAAUUCCCUUUCAAAUCCCUCUGAUGGCGCCGAAAUCCGAGAAGAAGCCCGCGGAGAAGAAGCCGGUGGCGGAGAAGCCCGCCGCCGAGGAGGAGAAGAAGUCAGCCCCGGCAGCGGCAGCGGCGGAGAAGAAGCCGGCCGAGAAGAAGCCCAAGGCUGGGAAGAAGCUCCCGGCCUCCAAAGGCAAGGAGGGGGAGAAGAAGAAG